CAUUGUGAUUGCACUUGCAGGAGCCAGACUCCCUUCCCUCAUGGCACCUCCUUCAAGUAAAAUUUGUCCAACCAUACCUUUGAAAUGAUAUUGCUGGAAUCAUACCAUACUGGCCAUUUUCCAGUGGGCCUUUCCCUGGUGCACAACUUCACUGACAACUCCUUGUUUGAAGUGGGAAACUUGGUGAGGAAGAAUUAAAAAGAUUUUAAGACUACCUGACAGGAUCGCUUCAUAACAACAAACGGAGCCGUGCAAAAGAAUAUGGUGAAAGACAAGGACAAUGAGUCAGGGCUGCCUUCUGAAUAACAUGGAGCUCACAGUAAUGGCAAAGUCUUCUCCGAGCAUUAAGUGGUAAUCUGGCAGCAUU